rnacentral:rRNA from 1 species
CCUACGGGAGGCAGCAGUGAGGAAUAUUGGUCAAUGGGCGGGAGCCUGAACCAGCCAAGUAGCGUGCAGGAUGACGGCCCUACGGGUUGUAAACUGCUUUUAUACGGGAAUAACGCGCCUUACGUGUAGGUCUUUGCAUGUACCGUAUGAAUAAGGACCGGCUAAUUCCGUGCCAGCAGCCGCGGUAAUCCGGAAGGUCCGGGCGUUAACCGGAUUUAUUGGGUUUAAGGGGAGCGUAGGCCGCAUGUCAAGCGUGCUGUGAAAUGUCCGGGCUCAACCCGGGCCUUGCAGCGCGAACUGGCGUGCUUGAGUCCGCGGAAAGCAGGCGGAAUUCGUCGUGUAGCGGUGAAAUGCUUAGAUAUGACGAAGAACCCCGAUUGCGAAGGCAGCUUGCUGCAGCGGAACUGACGCUGAUGCUCGAAAGCGCGGGUAGCGAACAGGAUUAGAUACCCGUGUAGUC